rnacentral:siRNA from 1 species
GGUAAAAAGGUAAUUGCAAGUGA